UCAGCCGUAGUGUCAGAAAUCAAACUAUUUUGUGCUCGUAGAAGUUCGAUCAAAUCAAAUGGUGUGUCAAAAAGUGUUUUCCUUUAUUGUGUUGAUCAAGUGAAGCUUAUUACUGGAUUAUUUUUUGUGUAACAGGUGUAGUGAACUAUCAGCAUACUUACUACUUAAUUUUAUCAUCAACUAUCCAUCAUAGUUUUCUCUUGUUCGUUAAGAGUAGCUCGUCAAACCAAUAUUGCAAAGGAUGCUGGCAUGCAAUCUUCUUGUCAUUUCGUCUGAGCCUUUCAAGUAGUGUGAUUUUGAGUUGAAGAGUGAGCCCGCAACUAAGACUGCAAAGAAUGCUGGCCAAAAAAGAUCAUUCUUCGCCAACUCAUUAUUGUCUGUAAGUUGAUGGGAAGUGCAGCAUCUUCCUCACAACUGUGUUGAAACGAUUGAAAACAACAAAUUCAGCAGUAUUCUCACUAUUUCUACCUUGCCAGUCACCACACUUUGACGUGAACCUCAACACCACUAUGCCUCAGACUACCAAGCCUAAGUAAAAAAAGGCCCUUCUUCACCUUGCCCGUCAUUGUUUCGCCGUCGUCCCGUCAUCAUUUCGCCCAUCGUCCCGUCAUGGCUUCGCCCGUCGUCCCGUCAUCGCUUUGCCCGUCGCCCCGUCAUCGCUUCGCCUGUCAUCGCUUCACCCGUCGCCGCCUCGUCUUCGCCUCGUGGUCUUCGUGGUAUCGUUGUUAUUUUAUGUAAUGUAUAGUGUGCUAAUUAACAGGUUGGCUGCCACGCCCUUUUUUACUCCCCUUUUUUUUGUAGCUGGAUAGGGACGGGCCGCGCUGCUCUACCCCAUGGUCUAUGUGCCGUGGGGUGGAGCAGUCGCCACUGCCCAAAAUUCGCCGUAAGGCAAAAGGCAACGCACCACAGGGCCUCCCUUUUCUCGAUGUGUGGUGGAGACCAGGGAUGUGCGUUUCCACAACGGUCUCCACUAUUGCAUCAGCCCGGACCAUUGUGUCCCCCUCUAUCGCCAUCCAUCAGAUGGCGAUGUAGCUAUUGUAGUUUUAGUGGCGUGGCAGCCAACCUGUGAGUUGUAUUGUCAUGUAUGUAAAGUGGUGGAAUAGUGGGUGGAAGGAGGGACAAUAAAAACUUUUAACAUUA